CGAUCGUCGCCAUUUUGUAAGCGCCCUGCCUAAAAGUGUCUCAUGGACUUCAGCUGGAUUAAAUGUGUAUUACCCGGGAGGAACUGUAAAGAGCCAGCCAGACAGCCCGCCCGCCGAGCUGCCCACCCGGCCGAGCUGUACUUUGUGUAUGCCAACAUGCCGCCAUGCUGUAAUUUGUUAGUACUUCAAGAUCAUAUAAUGGAAAUUUUUAUCCAAACUGAAGUAUAAACCAGCCUGGUUGCUGUACCACAGGGGAAUUCAAGGACAAGAACCAGUGCUGGUAAAAAUGUGGUCUCAUGUGGUUUUCCAUACCGGCAUUCAGCAAGGAUUUCAGAGAAAGGAAUACUGUCUCCAAAUCAUGAUGUGCCAAUAAGCUUCAGUUAGCUGCGCCUUUUUCCUCCCACCGGUAAUCCUGCAAUCUGAAUCCAGGAGAUGCAGCUCUGAAUCCAAUAUUUCAGGAGAAUGAAUAUAAAACUGAAGCCUUCAGGGAGUCAAUGCCACCAUGGUAUUGAUGUACUCAGCUGUGAUGUAACAUGCCUUCAAGCCACUAUCCGAACAACAUUCAGACGUUCUAAAUGGACCAUUGCCCUGUUGCCAUGGAAAUCAUUAUGAGGAGGAGCACACAAACUGUCACUUGUUUUGAAUAUGAGAUGUACCACGAACUGACCAUAAACUUUUGGGAUGCUCUGUUUAUUUCAUCAGCCAAUUUCGAUGUAAAUUUUACUGAAUAAUGACAAACAGUCUUACUCAUAAGCAUCUCUUACUCAUUCGUAUUCCACAACUAAACAUGCUUGCAAUUACACUGUGCCAUCUAUCAUAAUAUAGCAAUGCUGCAAUGACCACAUUUUUAUGUACCAGUUGUUGCCUUAUACUGAAACUUUUAUUGAAAAUAAACAUAAACACUGACAACACAUAAAUGUUUCAUUCAUACAUUUGUACAUGUUCUUUCAGUGUAUAUGGUGAUAAUGUUAAGACAUAUUUCAUGUGCAUUUUCACAUGUGUUUAUUGCCAACCUCUUCAAAACAUGCAUAGUUUGCUCACAUACAUAUUUCCAACACAGACAUUUACUGAAUGUAUUACUACUUUACGUUAAUUUUGAUAUGUAAAUAAAACAUUGUACUUCUCGUUUGUACAAAACACUU